rnacentral:rRNA from 1 species
GACGAACGCUGGCGGCGUGCUUAACACAUGCAAGUCGAACGGAAAGGCCCUGCUUUUGUGGGGUGCUCGAGUGGCGAACGCGUGAGUAACACGCGAGUAACCUGCCCUUGACUUUGGGAUAACUUCAGGAAACUGGGGCUAAUAUCGGAUAGCAGCUCCUGCUGCAUGGUGGGGGUUGGAAAGCUUCGGCGGUUGGGGAUGGACUCGCGGCUUAUCAGCUUGUUGGUGGGGUAGUGGCUUACCAAGGUUUUGACGGGUAGCCGGCCUGAGAGGGUGACCGGCCACAAUAGGACUGAGAUACGGCCCAGACGCGAACGGGAGGCAGCGGUGGAGAAUAUUGCACAGUAGGAGGAAGCCUGAUACAGCAACCCCGCGAGCGGGAAACCGGCUUUCGGGUUGUGAACCGAUUUCGCCUGGGACGAGGCGUGAGUGACGGUAAUGGGUAAAGAAGCACCGGCUAACUACGUG